GUAGUCCGCGCCGUAAACGAUGAACACUUGGUGUUGGAGGUAUUGACCCCUUCAGUGCCGAAGCUAACGCGUUAAGUGUUCCGCCUGGGGAGUACGGCCGCAAGGUUAAAACUCAAAGAAAUUGACGGGGGCCCGCACAAGCGGUGGAGCAUGUGGUUUAAUUCGAUGCAACGCGAAAAACCUUACCUGGGUUUGACAUCAAGUGGAAUGUAGCAGAGAUGUUACAGCCUUCGGGCCGCUUGACAGGUGCUGCAUGGCUGUCGUCAGCUCGUGUCGUGAGAUGUUGGGUUAAGUCCCGCAACGAGCGCAACCCUUGUCUUUAGUUGCCAGCAUUUAGUUGGGCACUCUAAAGAGACUGCCGACGUUAAGUCGGA
rnacentral:rRNA from 1 species